rnacentral:rRNA from 1 species
UACAGAGGGGGCAAGCGUUGUUCGGAAUUACUGGGCGUAAAGGGCGCGUAGGCGGGUGCUCAAGUCCGUGGUGAAAUCCUCCGGCUCAACCGGAGAACUGCCUCGGAUACUGGGUGCCUCGAGGGUGGUAGGGGUAUGCGGAACUAUCGGUGGAGCGGUGAAAUGCGUUGAUAUCGAUAGGAACUCCGGUGGCGAAGGCGGCAUACUGGACCACCUCUGACGCUGAGGCACGAAGGCCAGGGGAGCAAACGGG